UCUUCUCAUCUAUAUUCAUAGCUUUGUGUUGUAAGUAUUAUAUUUUAGGAAUUCCUUGUGGUUUCGUUAGCUCUUCUCACUGUAAGUUUGGCUAUAUGAGCGUUGAACUUGGCAAAUGUUUAUUCCCCUAGGGCAACCCUCUCAAAAAAUUUUUUUUCUCUUGUUUAAUUAAUUUCUCACAUGUUAUGCAGUUAGUUAGUGUCUGAACAUGGUCAAGUUUAUGCUAUAAUUUAAAAUUGUUCGAGAGUUUCCAUUAACAUGGUUAUGGUGUUUCUGUUUUUUUGUCUCCGCAGAAUCUAAGAAUAUGUCUCUUCACACUGUUCAGAGGAUCAUAGCAGAACAAGAGUUCAGUUAGCCUCCCGUGAGUAGAAAGAAGCUGACGAUAGAGAGAGAUGCUAGAACUGAAAGGCAUAAACUACAACUGAUGAAGCAGUUUGCUGUGAUCUUCUUGGUUAUGUUUUGAAGCCUGGCUCCGCAUCAAACCGUCCUUUAAGGAUGGUGCUUGAGGACGUGAUCAAAAGUUUUUAGACUUUGAGGGGAUUGCAAGACUAGCAGACUUCUGUCACAGGUAUGUAUUUUUCAAAUCUCUUUCUAAUUACUUGAGUCUCACGCAGAUAUAUAUUUUGAAUUUAAGUGAGGCUUUUGCAAUUUAUAAUUGUAGUUUAUUCGACUUUCGAAUCUUUUUGUUUGUGUUAUCUACUAACUCCUUUGGUGAUCAUUCUAAUUAUAGGAGAAGACGCUCCUGUAAUUUAUAAUUAAUUUUGGUUACUGCAUUCUACAGGCUGCAACACGUCUUUACAAUUCUGCAUCCUGCAUCACGUCUUUACAAUUCUAUAUCCUGCAUCACGUCCGUACAGCUCGCAUCCUACAUCUUGCAUCAUGCAUCAUGUCUUUAGUAUCCUGCAUCAUGUGUUUAGUAUCCUACAUCAUGUCUUUAGCAUCUUGCAUCUUGCUUCCUGCAUAUGUCCAUUAAUUCUGCAUUAUUUAUCAUGUAUUUGCAAUCCUAAAGUCAAAUUUGUUUGUCAGAGGAAUUUUGCCUUCUGCAUCAUAGUUCGUAUACUUAUGAUUGUUGUAUUAUAAAUGCUAUCUAUUGACUUGAGUUUUUCACACACGCUAAUCAAAAAUAUAUUUGUUGUGGUACUAGUGUUUGUAAAUGUAUGGUUUUGGAAAUCUACUGAGUCAUCAGUGUAUUUAUUUAGCAUGCGCAAAUAGUCUCUUUUGUAGGCAUACAUGAUACAUCAUAUGCGUUUUAAUCUUCUAGGUUUUUAGGUAGGCUAAAUUUAUUCUAUGCCUGAAAUUUUAUUUUUGUUUCAAAAACCAUAAUUUUGCUCUAAUAGUUGUUAAUUUGGAAGUUCUCGACUCUCUAGCAGAGAUAUUUGUGUAAACAAUCAAGCUUUGUAUACUUUGAAGGUAAUGUUUCUAAGACGGUGUAAAUUAUUGUUGAACUAAGGGUCGUAAACCCUUUCACCAAAAAAACUAUUGGUCAUUUUUCA